UGAUAUCUGUAGGGUGGAUGAACAAUUGAGGCGUUUUAAUCUGAAAUUGGUCUUGCUAUGGCCUCUCUUAAUGAGGGGAGAUGGAAUCUUUCUAUGAGGAGAUGAUAGUGCUGGGGGUCGCGGGCUUGGCUGGGCAGCUUUUUCCUGCCUGGGCAGAUAGCCGGCUGCUCACAUGGGCUCCUCUGCCUGACUCCCCUUCUGCCGUUUUCUGCCCCUGCGUUCGAAAGUGAUCGCGGGCUGCCGGUGCCCUGGUCAUUGAUAGUGCAGGGAGAGGAAUCGCUGAAAGCGUUUCCCCGUGUUUGGAGGGUCCAUCCUGUCCCUUCCAAACUCUGGAGCUUUCCCACACCUCCUUCCUCCCCCCAGCUCUCAGAUGCCUUCUGGCACCUGGUGUCUACUGAGUGCCUGGCUGCUGAGAUGUUUUUAAAAAGACAGAUAAAGCAAGGGUUGUGUCUAAGGACCUAUGGGCUUGCUGUGGAGCCACUGAUGAGUGAUUGCCACCAAGGGCAUCCCUCCAGGAAGCCAUUUCUGCCUCCCCCUCCCCUUUCCAGGUCCUGAGUACUGCAUGUUUUGUGGUGUGAUGUAGCCUGGGAAGUGACUUGCUGUGGGUUGAGGGCACCAAUCAUACUUUGUGAAAAUCAUUGGUUUUCUUGUCUUUUUGUCUCUCUCUGCUCUGAUCUUGAGAUUAGCAUCUGAGUCUCACCUCUUUGUAGGCUCAGUGACUAGCAGGUGUCCAGUGCUCAGCUGCUGUGGAACAACUGCCCAGUGGGAGGGAAGGAAAGGAGAGAUGGGGUGGUGGGGCCAUCACAUCGUGGAACAAUCAGGGAAAGACUGCUUGUGAGCCCCUAGGAGGGGGGGCACUUUCUAUGUUUCCUUCUCCUGGAGUUCUUCCUUUUGGCCAGUAUUCCUUCAUUGGAGUUCAUUGGAUUCCAUUGGAGGCCCCUUGGCAUGAGAUAGAGCCCAGUCCACCAGGGGAGACUUUCUGCAUGGCCUGCUGUUAUGGCAGCUGGAACCAGAGCAGUAAUGAAAUUGGACAAGGCUUAAAUAGAUGCCAGACCUCACCUUCGCAGGCGACCUGAGGCGCUCCUGCCCCUGUGCCCUCCCUGCCCAGGCCAGACACUGCCUGUCAGAUGUUGCACCCUUCCAAACCUGCCCUGGAGUUUCCAUCCUGUUCAAGAUCCAGCUUUCAGAACCUGUACAGUGUCAUCAGAGUUUGCACAAAAGUUGAUCUGCCCUAGAUGAGCUGUUGUCCCAUGUGGAGUGGAAGCUUCCUUCCUGUUCAUGAGAAGACGGUGUGGCUCGUAGAGGAGGCAGCAUGGUGCAUAGGGUCCUUGAGAGGUGUCUCCAUCCUGUCAGGAAGCAGCUGGACCAUGGUGCUGCUGAGUUGCAGAUGAGUCCACUGUGUGCAGAGGCGUCAUGGAAGUUGCCAUGUUGGGAACAUUCUAGACCCCAGUGUCCUUGAGGAGGAUUGAGAUUCCUUCCUGAGCCAAGUUUGGUGUGAAAAGAAAUGUGCAGCUCAUCCCUGACUUAGUGGGGGCAUUCUCACGGAUGUCAGCUUGAAGAAAGAUAAGGUAACGCUGGAGAGCAAAUCCUUGUCGUGAGCUCCUCAUCACCCUCAGGGUGCUGCCUGGGACCUGGACUUGGUUGGAAGAAGCCUCAAAGGAAAACAGUGGCCCCCCUCAGGAUGGUGACCGGUCCCAGCUCCCUGGAGGGGCCUCCUCAUGGUUAUUAUGGGGCUGAUCACAGACACUGUGUAGCAGAGCGAAGAAUGAUGUUGCCACAUGACCGUCACCAGACCUUCUAUCUUCCAUUGGCUCAGCACAGAAUGGAAGGACUUUGCAGCUCUGUAAAGGGGGCAGAUGGAAUGUCCUGGGACUCUAGGAACUUGGGGUUCAGAGCUGGAGACCUUCACGUAGCUCUGCCUCUCCCCAGCAGGUGCCACAGAGCACUGCGGACCCAGAAAACUGGUUUCCUUCCAUCUGGACCAGGUCAUCCAGUGGCCUCCAUGUCCCCCUGCCUACUGCUAUGUAACUUUUUAGAACCAAGAGUUUGUGCUGGAGUUUCUGUGUGUGCAUCUUGUCCUCUCAUCCACUUCAGUAAAUCUUGAAGCUGCCCAA